UACGAGGGGUGCAAACGUUAUUCGGAAUCACUGGGCGUAAAGGGUGCGUAGACGGCGAAAUAAGUCAAUUAUUAAAUCUCCUAGCUUAACUAGGAACCUGUAAUUGAAACUGGUUUGCUUGAGGAUGGAAGAGAGAAGCGGAAUUCUCGGAGUAGCGGUAAAAUGCGUAGAUCUCGAGAGGAACACCGAUGGCGAAGGCAGCUUCUUGGUCCAUUUCUGACGUUGAGGCACGAAAGCGUGGGGAGCAAGCAGG
rnacentral:rRNA from 1 species